AUUUAUUCUUCAUAUCUAUAAUGCUGAAAAUUACAUUGAUAGUAAAUAAUAAAUCAACUUUUAUGAUUUAUGCAGCUAUUUCAACAAAGUUAAUUUAUCUGCUUUUUUGUCAUGGAAGACCAGGAAAAGCUGCUGAUCGAGGAUUACCAGGAGAACCAGG